AACGCGAAGAACCUUACCUGGGCUCGAAAUGUAGAGGACGUGUACAGAGAUGUCCAUUCCCGAAAGGGUCUCUAUAUAGGUGCUGCAUGGCUGUCGUCAGCUCGUGCCGUGAGGUGUUUGGUUAAGUCCAGCAACGAGCGCAACCCUUAUCGUUAGUUGCCAGCGAGUCAAGUCGGGAACUCUAACGAGACUGCCUGGGUUAACCAGGAGGAAGGUGAGGAUGACGUCAAGUCCGCAUGGCCUUUAUGUCCAGGGCUACACACGUGCUACAAUGGUCGGUACAGAAGGCAGCAGAGUCGUGAGGCGAAGCAAAUCCUAUAAAACCGAUCUCAGUUCAGAUUGUAGUCUGCAACUCGGCUACAUGAAGUUGGAAUUGCUAGUAAUGGCGUGUCAGCAACAACGCCGUGAAUACGUUCCCGGGCCUUGUA
rnacentral:rRNA from 1 species